rnacentral:lncRNA from 1 species
AUGGGCUAUCUUUUCUUUCUCUUCUUUUUUUUCAGGUGGGUAGUAGAUACCCCUAAUUCUACUGUCGGACACUUGUCCAUUUUUUCCGCUCAAGUGGGCAUCUUUGUACCCCUAAUUCUACUUCGGACACUUGUCCAUUUUUACCUCUCGUCUCACUCUUUUUCUUUCUUUUUCGAGGUUCCGGGCACUUGCCCCUUUUUAUUUCCUCGUAUAUUUUUGCAUAACCCAUGCCUCUUCUGCAUUGAAUCUUUUUAGAGAGAGAGAAUAACAAUAUUCGGGACAGUGAGUGAUAAUAUUUUUAGCAAUUUUAAUGAUUGACGAUGAAUGCUGUGGUAGAUGUGUGCAAGUGAAUAUCUUAAUUUAACCACAUGAAAAGCUCCUUAGGGUCUACACAGCUCGAUCAAACUCAAUGUAAAUAUAGCAAAAUAUGUUAUAGCAAGUAUGGCUGUGGUAGGUAGUUUUGUAUACUAGGAACUCAUCAUGUGAUUUGUAAGUUUUCAAAAUAAAUCUCUAGAACUUGGUGUAGUAGGAACAAGAUAAACAGUAGCUCAACUUUAUAUCAUGCCUUUCGCUUACCUAGACUUUAGUUUUAUGCUUCCCAAAGAUAGUAAUUUUUAGUUUUAGUAAUUCCUGGAAGAAUUCUAAUAUAAAAGCUAGGUACUUGUAAGUAAGCAAACAGAGCAACUAUCCAUCAUUUUCAUCAUGCAUCUUUUUGGUCUUUUUAUUUUUCUAGAGAUUAAGCUUAGCAGAAAAAUAAGCACACUUAUCUACACACUCUUUUUAUUUUGUUUUCAUGUUUAUAAAGUGCAGUAAAUUAAAGUAAGAAAAUAUUUAUUUGGUUUUUUAAGUUUUUUCCUUUUAAGAUAAAUUAAAUACUAAGACAAAAUAGAAUAAAUAAGAAGAGCAAAUAAAAACUUACUUGAUAAAUUAGGGAGGAACUCCCCCAAGCUGGAUGUUGACGUGGG